CUUACUUCACAAUGCCUAUUACAUGUGUGGUAUUGAAUUAGAGGUUUUAGCAAUUCUGGAGAGAGUGAGAGGAUAACGAUGGUGGUGUGGUGGGCUGGCAUGUUGCUGAUGUAGUAGAUCGGCGUGCUCUAAAUUUCCAUCAGUAGACCACCAUGUGUGCAUAGGAAAUGAAGUUCAGACAAUUGUUACUGUUCGUCUCCUGCACUACUUCAGAAAAUGAUGUAGUAGAUCCAUUUUACUAUGUUCCUGUUUCAAUCCAGUAUAUGUAUUUGCCUGGUAUAUUGCAUAUUUUCUGGUUAGUUUUCAGAUUCGGUUCAUUGCUAGCAAGAUUUGAGAGAUGGGUUUGCAUCUCAGAUUGGAGAAAUAUGAGUUACUACUUUUAGCCAUUACUCAAUAUUCACUCAGCUAAAUUAUAUCUAUGCAGCUUGGCUAAAAAAGUGAUAGGACAAGCACUUCAGAUAUUGCUCAUGAGGUCUCUUUCUGGUAAAAUAUGCAAACUGCAUAGUUUAUGGAGAAGCCAUCCAGCAUUCUUCUGGCCCCCUUUCUCUUUCAACUCCCGUCUAUGGAGAAUCCACAAGAAUACCGUGUACCUUCAAUUCCUAAAUCCCCAAAGACGAAUCUGAUGUAUUUGCUGGUUUUAGUUUGGUUUUUACAGUGCAGUUCGCAAAGGAUUUAGUAAAGAGUUUCACAUCUGCAGCCACUGCAGUUCUCUAAUUUUUUUUUACUAAAACCGUGCCUACCAUUUCCUUGCAAUUUCUUGCAGGCUGUUCACUCUAGAUCGAUGUGCUGCUAGGUUAUUUGGCCAACAUGUGGCUCUUGUGUUCGUACACUGAUGGACGAGAAGCACAAAACGACUCAAAAGGUCACUCAUGGACACAAUUAUUCUUAGAUAAAUUAUAUUAGUCAUUACACGUACUAUCUUGAAGCUCUGAUUUUGAUGGCAAGAUAUUAUAUUUUCUAAUGCUGAUGGAUUAAUGGAGUCAUCAAAUGAAGAACCUGUGAUCAUCUUAUUUGUCGGCAUGAUAGUAGUCAGUACUCAGGUUUGUUGGCCUUCAAAAGUACAUCUGUUAUAGUUCUGAACAUACUUCGGUAUUCAGCUACUCCGAUGCAGAACCCCAAAGGAGUUGUUGGUUUUCAUGCCGUUGUUGACAGAUCCUGGCUCUACAUGCCUGCAAGGUCAACACCGACGCCCAGAUCCACGGCGAAAAGAAGAAAAAACACCGAAUA